rnacentral:lncRNA from 1 species
AGAGACAGUCAGUGGCUGAGAGCUCCUCCAGGAAGCAGUUGUUAAUCAACUUAGAUCGCUGGAAAUAACUAUCACUUUGGCAUCCUGGGCAAUUUUCCCUCUUAGCAAACUAGCUCUCUGGUUGAAGGUGACAUUGAGUAAAGCCUGUGUGACAGAGCAAAGCCAGCGUGCAGGAGUUUCCUACAGAGCCUAUGUAGAAAACCAAGGCACCACAGCCCAGGAAGGCCAGUGGAGCCAGCGCUGAUGGCUUCACCUGCCUCACACACUCACCUUCGUCCCGCCACUGUGCCAAAGCCUGCCUGCCUACUGGGGGCCAGUGGUGACUCCUCACCAGACGUGACUGCCUCAGUAUAAAGUUUGUGUGUGCAGGAACUUGCCUGGGAGCUCAGAGGGUUCUUACCUUCUUCAGGAGCUGGAGAAGAAGCAAGACCACCUGGGGCUGACAUCACGGGGGACCGGCAGUGUACAGCAACAGGUCAGCAGCUGUAGUCAAGACAUUCCAGCCUCUGCAGACGGCCAGCUCCUCUGGAGUCACUACUGGUGGUUAUUUCUAAUCCAUCCCUGCGAGAAGAGAAGCAAAGAUCCCUGGGAAAUUGCUGAAUCAUGUGCCUAGCACUGUUCAAGCUGCAUCUAUCUGAGUAUGAAAUAUGAGCCCGGCUACGCUUAAAAAUUAUCUUAGAUCAUUUAAAAUUUGAUAGAUGUUAACAAUAGAAAAAGAGUCUUAA